AACCUGUGAGUCAACUUUAGCUUGCGAUUAAUCUUUUGCCUUUUCCUAAAGAUUUCCGUUGAGGGGAGUAAUUGAUGAAUCGAACUCAAUUUUUGAUGCUCUCAGCAUUUGUCAGAGC
rfam:Asian citrus Psyllid, Diaphorina citri - Florida Strain, whole genome shotgun sequence.